GGGAAUCCAGUUAUGUCGUUGGUGAGUCACUAUCUUUAGCCUGUGUUUCUCAAAUAUUCACCUGAAAGCUUAUGAACAUUUCUAUUUGUAAUUUGAUUCACACUAAAAUAUUAGAGCGAACUGUAGGUUUUUUCUUCAUUUAUUUUAUUUUUUAAUUUCUUUAUAGCGCUCAACACAUAUUAAUUAAUUGAAAAUUUGUUGUGUUUCUGAGUGUUCCACAUUGUGUUCUUACCAUUUUUUCUGUUUAUACUAAGGUUCCAAUUUUCCACAGUAUUAUUUGUUGGCAUUCAAUGUUUGGGACCACUUCUCUUCUUUAGCGUCUUUUGAUAAUAUACUGAUCCUUUUGGGCAUGUUCUAAUCGAAGCAGUAGGAUUUUGGGAGAAAACUAUAUAAUUGUGUAUCAUUUUUAUCUUUACCAUGCUUUCAUACAGUUUUAGGAAAACAAAUUCAUUGUGCCACAGUGAUGCACUUUUUCUUUGAAUGUGGCACCAUCUUUUGGGUAGGGUUAAUUGAUCUAUAAUUCUAGGGUUUCAAAUUGUAUGUUUUUAUCUACCAGUGCAACAGGUGUGACAUCUUUUGUUCAAACCAAGUGUUACGAAUAUUAAAUAACAUGAGAUAGACAUAAGGUGGUUUCUCAAUGCUUUAAAAGGUUUCCAAGAUAAUGACUCAUUGCCUCUUAUUCUUAAGAAUUCCACUUCCACUUUAUGAUUGGUCAGAGGGAGAGUGUGUAACUAAAGAGAUAAUGAUGGAGUGUUGCAUUGGAAUUAUCCUUCCAUAUUAUAAAUUUUGCUCGCUUUGCCUUUUGUCAAUCUAAUUAGCGGAAAAUUUUCUAGGUUGCUUUUCUGGCCUCUGCUGUUGGACCA
rnacentral:misc_RNA from 1 species